rnacentral:rRNA from 1 species
UACGUAGGGGGCAAGCGUUGUUCGGAAUUACUGGGCGUAAAGGGAGUGUAGGCGGGGAGAUAAGUUAGGAGUUAAAUACUCAGGCUUAACUUGAGGGCUGCUCUUAAUACUGUUUCUCUUGAGUAUGGGAGAGGGUGAUGGAAUUCCAGGUGUAGCGGUGGAAUGCGUAGAUAUCUGGAAGAACACCAGUUGCGAAGGCGGUCACCUGGCCCAAUACUGACGCUGAGGCUCGAAAGCUAGGGGAG